GGUUCACGGCAAGGGUGGAACCGGAUUCUGCCCGGAUGGGGAUCUGGAUGGGGGGGUGGGGGGUUGAUUUGGGAAGCAGAGCACAGCAGCCCAAAUUUGCUUGUAAUGUCGGCGGCUACAGAGGAAAGGCCAAGAAUGGACAGAUUAAUAAAGGGCCAUCUACAAGCCACGAAUAAGGCCAUCACCAGAAGCCAACCCCGCCAGUCCUUGAUCUAGGACUUCCAGACUUCAAAACUUUUCUAGCCUGCUGGCCUGCCUUCACUGUCCUGGGGGAGGCUUGGAGAGACCAGGUGGACUGGAGUAGACUGUUGAGAGACACUGGUCUGGUGAAGAUGUCCAGGAAACCACGAGCCUCCAGCCCAUUGUCCAACAACCACCCACCAACACCAAAGAGGCGAGGAAGUGGAAGGUUCCCAAGACAACCCGGAAGGGAAAAGGGACCCAUCAAGGAAGUUCCAGGAACAAAAGGCUCUCCCUAAAAGACCGCCGCUUCAAAAAAACCUGAGGAAUGGAGUGGGCCAACACUAUCCAGCCACUCUGACCAGCCGAACGAGGAACUCAAUCAAAAUGAGCCAUAGCGGGACCACAAGGGCAAGGAGACCACCACCUUCUCCAGUCUCUCUUCGGACAGCCAGUAAUUCCCGGGCAAGGCCAGAGACUUCAAGUCUAUCUGAAAAGUCUCCAGAGGUCUAACCCCAGAUAAAUAGCCAACAGGGUGUAGAGUACAUUUUACACCCCAAAGAGUGUGCCCCAUGGUGAUGAAAAUAAAGUGAACAUGUUGCAAAAUGA
rnacentral:lncRNA from 1 species